rnacentral:rRNA from 1 species
CUCAAGAUUAAGCCAUGCAAGUGGUUACAUUAACCCGACAGUUUAAAUAAGUGUUCAUUGCUAUCCGCAUAACACGCACAAUGCACAUGUACGCAUAAUACACACACAUACACAUCUGUUAUGCCGUACAAGCAUUAGGCAUAAAUUUUGUUUGCGAUAGUAACAAAAUUUCAGCGUGAAUCACACAUACAUACGCACAGUGAAUCACAGCGAAAUUUUACACAUUUCAACGUAUCACUUACGCAACUGCAGACAGCUGCUUAAUACAGUCACACUUGUCUUGACUUGGCACACCCACACACACAUACACACACACACACACGAUUUCUCUGUAACGCAUAUUCAUACAAGAAGCACAAUUGCGUUACACCGUGACACUUUUUAUCUUUUUUAUGGAUAACUCAGGGAAAGUUUGGCUAAUACGUACGAGUACAUACACACACACACACACACACACUCACACAUAUACACUACUCAGCACUCAAUGGUAAACUUUGAUUUACGCAUAUUUUAUGCGUCUAUCAGUUUAAAGUUUAACCGCAACAUGAGAGACAUUGAGCACGCACGUGUAAUGUGAAUUCGUCUCACGUUACACACCUACGCUGAGCAGACUUUGCGAAGUUUACUUUUGCGAAGCAUGUCAUACAAGCAUCUACAGCAUCAAGUCACAGGGUUGGCAAGUGUAUUUUUGAACCUUCAAAGCAGUCACGCAUACGGAAGAGUAGUUUCUGAUCCCAUAGAAGGAGCACCGUACAAUGAGAGACCGCUCUUAGUUCUAAGGAACGCAGCAGGCGCGUAAAUUGCCCAAUGCUAGUACCCUACAAUCAUACUUUUAUUGCAAUUUACUAUUAUACGCAUUACGACACUAUUUAUAGAUUUAUUUUUAUUCUGUCAUACACACACACAUCCUUGUUCACACGCGUAAAGUAGAAAUUAUAUAUAUCAUGUAUAUUUUAUUUACUGAGGCAGUGACAAGCUGUAACGGUUGAGUAUAAAAAUGACGAGUGUCUGGCAUUGCCGCUCUUUCGGGAGCUUGGCAAGUUGCCGACGCUUUGUGUGCUCAAUUGGAAUGCGGUGAGUUUAAGCAACUCAGAACCUUUUAACGGUGUUACGUAAAAAUUUCACUGUUGAUGUAUCUGAAUUUCAAGUGGAGGGCAAGUCUGGUGCNNNNNNCCGCGGUAAUACCAGCUCCACUGGCCUAUACAAUCAUUGUUGCGGUUAAGAGGCUCGUAGUUGGAUUGAACUGCUAAUAUGAAUUUUUUUAUUCGCUAAUAAAUUCUGUUCAUAUUUCAGUACUUACGUAAUAUAUUAUAUAUAUAUAUUUUAUUUUCUGUGUGCUUCGCGCAUCAGAUAAUAUACACGGUAUAUAUGUAUGUAUGUUUCGUUCGACGCUGUUAUAUUUAAUAUACGCGUCUUGUAUAUUUUCUACGCACAAUUUUUUUUCUUGCGAUACGACAUACACACACACACACAUUUAUGUUAACUCGCACACAGGAACUUUUUUGUCGCAUAGUAAUUUAUUCGCAAUACACACACACNCAUAUUUCAACACUGUGAACAAAUCAGAGUGUAUCAAACAUGUCGUUUUUGAAUGUGCAUUGAAUGUCUUAUCAUGGGAUGUUGCACUUUCAUACCGGUUAAAGAUUUACAUCUUCGAUCAGCGCGCGACACACACACACACACACACGCACGCACAACAUGUUACGCAUACACACAUACGCAUCACUGCGUAAUUUACAAGAUCGCUAAAUAUUUCUUUARCGGUAUAAAAAUGUCGAUGAGGGAUAGUUGGAGAUCAACAGUACCUGCUGGGCGAGAGGUGAAAUUCWUUGACCCUAGCAAGACUACCAAAAGCGAAAGCAGUUGGCUAGGCUAUACUCUUUUGUGAUUUAUUAUAUACGCUACAUACACAUAUAUAUAUUUUUUUUUACGCACACACACACAUACAUACUCUGCGCAUAACACAAAUAUAUAUUUACGUACACGCGUUUAUUAUAAUACACUUUACAAUGAAGAACGAAGGUUGGGGGAUCAAAGAGGAUCAGAUACCCUCGUCGUCCCAUUAAUUACAUCAAACGAUGGGCUCUCAAUUGCAUUUAUUCACAAUAAACUGCAAAUUUCCUCAGCCUACAAAAUUUAUUCGGCUUGAGCUCGUGAUUCUAUCACGCUCGCCUAUAGUAUUUUUUCGUAUGGUCUCGAUGGACGUUUCAUUUAUUUAUAUUUUUUGCGUGUAAGCAUUAUGUUAUUCUUUGAAACAUAAGAAUGCAUUGCGUGCACUUGAUUUUCGGAGCUUUGCGCUCAAUUCUGGUGAGAUGUAAGCACUAUGUUAUUCUGCCCGUAUCCGUAUGUGUUUAUUCACAUUUCGCGAUAUCGUGUGCAGUAUUUAACAAUUUCGGUGUGAAGCACGCUUUAGGCACGCGCUUACUGCAGAAAUGUCUGAGACAUUCCCCUCCGGGGGUAGUAUGCACGCAAGUGUGAAACUUGAAGGAAUUGACGGAAGGGCACCACAAGAACGCGUGGAGCAUGUGGCUUAAUUUGACUCAACGCGGGAAAUCUUACCGGGUCCGGACACACUGAGGAUUGACAGGCAAUAUUAAUAUAUACUUUUUUGCAUUCCUUCGGGUAUGUUAAAUGUCAUAUAUUAUGUUAAAUAUGCUAGUCCUUUCAUGAUUAUGUGAUAGGUGGUGCAUGGCCGUUCUUAKUUCGUGGAGUGAUCUGUCUGCUUAAUUGCGUUUCACUAAGGGCCUAUACAAUUACSUAUGUUGUUAUUACACUUUGACCCCUCCUUCACGGGUGCGUGUGUCUUUGACUGUUUCAACUCAUACAAUUASGUCCUGAAAGCAACGAACGUGACCGCAACCUCUUGUUGCUUUCGUAUACCCUUAUAACACAGUUUUUAUGCUCUUACGUAUUAAUUUCUGUGCAAGAAAGCUUUUUAAACUARAGGGACCGCUGUUAUCUUCUUAAACCAGAGGAAGGUUGCGGCAAUAACAGGUCUGUGAUGCCCUUAGAUGUUCCGGGCUGCACACGUGCUACAAUGAUUAUUGCAGUGAGCAUCUCAUUUUUAUAUACACCGCAUGCGCGAGUCCAUUUAUUCNNUUUCUCUACCUUCACGGGUAUCGCUGUUUUAAAUGUGUAUCUCUCCGCGCGGUAAAGCCUGCUUCGAGAGUAAGUGGGUAAUCAAUUAGAAGUAAUGAUUCCUUUUUUUCUGCACACAUAUAUACGGCAGUUAUACCCGGGUAACCUUGUUGUUACUUUUCUGUGUGUAUAGCUGUACCCUUUUUCCGUAUGUGCGAUUGUCAAUUCAUGGUGGGGACAGACCAUUGUUAAUUGUUGGUCUCGGUCUUAACUAGGAAUGCCUUGUACGGGUCUUUGGUUCAACAAACCACCCGGAACACGUCCCUGCCCUUUGUACACACCGCCCGUCGCUCUUACCGAUGGACUUCUCUGUGAGUUUGAGGGACUGGGAACGCAAUUGGAUUUUAUCCACAUUGCACACCUAUGGAAACUUAAACGAACAGUGUGGUCUAAAGGAAAGAGAAGUCGUAACAAGGCAUCAGUAGGUGAACCU